AACCAGUCCCUUCUAACAAAAAUGCCAAAAGCCAUUAUCUGUACAAUUUAAUACUGUGCAGUAAGUCCUUGGCAAUCCCCAGUAAUCUGCAGCAUUACAUAGUACUGCACCGGACGGGACAUGAGAUAAUACGGAAUGACUUAAUUAGACUUGGGGAUGCCGGCAUAUCGUGACUCUAGGAUCGUGGUGGUGCUGGAGGUGGUGGCCAGUGGCAGUUCUGGUUACACAAGUUCGAGCCCUGGUCUGGGAAGAUCCCACGUGCCGCGGAGCA